GCCAACGUAGCUCAACGGUAGAGCCCUGGUUUUGUAAACCAGGGGUUGACGGUUCGAAUCCGUCCGUUGGCU
rnacentral:tRNA from 1 species